AUUGAACGCUGGCGGCAUGCUUUACACAUGCAAGUCGAACGGUAACAGGCCUUCGGGUGCUGACGAGUGGCGAACGGGUGAGUAAUGCAUCGGAACGUACCCAGAGGUGGGGGAUAACGCAGCGAAAGCUGUGCUAAUACCGCAUGUGAUCUGAGGAUGAAAGCGGGGGACCGAGCAGCAAUGUUUGGCCUCGCGCCUUUGGAGCGGCCGAUGUCGGAUUAGCUAGUUGGUGGGGUAAAGGCCUACCAAGGCGACGAUCCGUAGCUGGUCUGAGAGGACGACCAGCCACACUGGGACUGAAACACGGCCCAGACUCCUACGGGAGGCAGCAGUGGGGAAUUUUGGACAAUGGGCGCAAGCCUGAUCCAGCAAUGCCGCGUGCGGGAAGAAGGCCUUCGGGUUGUAAACCGCUUUUGGCAGGAACGAAACGGUGUCCGCUAAUACCGGGCGCUAAUGACGGUACCUGCAGAAUAAGCACCGGCUAACUACGUG
rnacentral:rRNA from 1 species